AGGGUUUGAUCAUGGCUCAGAACGUACGCUGGCGGCACGCCUAACACAUGCAAGUCGAACGAAGUAGUAAUACUUAGUGGCAGACGGGUGAGUAACAUGUGGGUAUCUACCCUUUGGCCUGGAAUAACACGAGGAAACUUGUGCUAAUACCGGAUAAGUCUUCACAGAGAAAGCUUUAUGCACCAUUGGAUGAGCCUGCACUUGAUUAGUUAGUUGGUAGGGUAAUGGCCUACCAAGACUUUGAUCAAUAGCUGAUUUGAGAGGAUGAUCAGCCACAUUGGGACUGAGACACGGCCCAAACUCCUACGGGAGGCAGCAGUGGGGAAUCUUGCACAAUGGAGGAAACUCUGAUGCAGCGAUGCCGCGUGAGUUAAGAAGGCCCUUGGGUUGUAAAGCUCUUUCGUCGGGGAAGAAAAUGACUGUACCCGAAUAAGAAGGUCCGGCUAACUUCGUGCCAGCAGCCGCGGUAAUACGAAGGGACCUAGCGUAGUUCGGAAUUACUGGGCUUAAAGAGUUCGUAGGUGGUUGAAAAAGUUGGUGGUGAAAUCCCAGAGCUUAACUCUGGAACUGCCAUCAAAACUUUUCAGCUAGAGUAUGAUAGAGGAAAGCAGAAUUUCUAGUGUAGAGGUGAAAUUCGUAGAUAUUAGAAAGAAUACCAAUUGCGAAGGCAGCUUUCUGGAUCAUUACUGACACUGA
rnacentral:rRNA from 1 species